GACAGAGGGUGCAAACGUUGCUCGGAAUUACUGGGCGUAAAGCGCGUGUAGGCGGACCGAUAAGUCAGAUGUGAAAGCCCUGGGCUCAACCCAGGAACUGCAUUUGAAACUGUCGGUCUUGAGUGGUGGAGAGGGAAGUGGAAUUCCUGAUGUAGAGGUGAAAUUCGUAGAUAUCAGGAGGAACACCGGUGGCGAAGGCGGCUUCCUGGACACCAACUGACGCUGAGACGCGAAAGCGUGGGGAGCAAACAGG
rnacentral:misc_RNA from 1 species